rnacentral:rRNA from 1 species
GACGAACGCUGGCGGCGUGCUUAACACAUGCAAGUCGAACGGAAAGGCCCUGCUUUUGUGGGGUGCUCGAGUGGCGAACGGGUGAGUAACACGUGAGUAACCUGCCCUUGACUUUGGGAUAACUUCAGGAAACUGGGGCUAAUACCGGAUAGGAGCUCCUGCUGCAUGGUGGGGGUUGGAAAGUUUCGGCGGUUGGGGAUGGACUCGCGGCUUAUCAGCUUGUUGGUGGGGUAGUGGCUUACCAAGGCUUUGACGGGUAGCCGGCCUGAGAGGGUGACCGGCCACAUUGGUACUGAGAUACGGCCCAGACUCCUACGGGAGGCAGCAGUGGGGAAUAUUGCACAAUGGGCGGAAGCCUGAUGCAGCAACGCCGCGUGCGGGAUGACUGCCUUCGGGUUGUAAACCGCUUUCGCCUGUGACGAAGCGUGAGUGACGGUAAUGGGUAAAGAAGCACCGGCUAACUACGUG